UGAGGAAUAUUGGUCAAUGGGGCGGAAGCCUGAACCAGCCAAGUCGCGUGCGGGACGAAGGCCCUACGGGUCGCAGACCGCUUUUGCGCGGGGGAUAACGGCCGUCUUGCGAGACGGCGUGAAGGUACCGUGCGAAUAAGGAUCGGCUAACUCCGUGCCAGCAGCCGCGGUAAUACGGAGGAUCCGAGCGUUAUCCGGAUUCAUUGGGUUUAAAGGGUGCGCAGGCGGGCCUGCAAGCCCGCGGUGAAACCCCGGGGCUCAACCCCGGGCCUGCCGCGGGAACUGCCGGCCUUGAGUCGCGGCGAGGGCUGCGGAACGCGGGGUGUAGCGGUGAAAUGCGUAGAUAUUAGGGGGAACACCAGUGGCGAAGGCGGCCAACUGGGCUUUUACUG
rnacentral:rRNA from 1 species